UUUUGCAUUUGGAUUGUUAUCCACAAUCGCAUUACCCACAGCGUGCAAAAGGUGGGUUUUACCCAAACCUGUACCACCAUA
rnacentral:antisense_RNA from 1 species